CAGGCCCAGUGCCACCUGUAAAUGGGGGAUGCUUCCCUGGACCUGGGGUGCCUGGCUUCCACACUCUCCUGGGCUCUUUCUUGCCUCUGUUCCCAAAUAGGGAGGGAGGUCUUAACGAGUGUGAAUGUUAUAAGCCUACUACCAGAGGGCUGGCCAGGUUCCAGAAGUGACAAAUGUGUACUUGGCUAUGGUUGGAUCUUACGAGACCCCUUGCUUGCUGGCAGACUGUUUUUGCAAAUACCAGCUCCCCUGUUACCAAUUAUGAGAAGGUGCUCACUUUGGGUGUGCACGGGUGUUGGGCUCUGGGCACACCCUCUCCAAGGUCUCACGGGCAAAGAGAACUAAGGAACCAAGUCCCAAGACAACCACUGCUAUUUGUUCAACCCACAUAGCCUUGUGGAUGGGGAGAGGGCAAUUCUACAUGUGUUCCCCUUCAUGCAUCUGCAGUGUCUUAGCACAUGCCGUCAAGGGUUAAGAGUAUUUCUCAGUAUGCCAUUAGGAAGCAAGGCCUCGUUAUUUGGGGUGAAAUCAUUUUAGAGCAAAUCCUGUACAGUGGGUAAGCUGAAUGUUUUCAGCCAUCAGAGUGUGGAAAUUUGCGGGAGACUGGGAUUUAACCUGGUGGUUACUCAAUUUCGUCAUUAGAAUGGUCUGUAAUCCACUAAAGUCCCUGAAACUAUCUGCAAGAAAAAUCCAUCUUUAUAUAUGACGCAGUGGUUUCUAAAUUAUUUUUGGAUAGCAGAAAAAAAAGUUUUUUUUUCAGAACCCCCAAACACACAAUAGAGAAUAGUCCUACUGUUCUGUUUGAAGCUGGGGAUGAGACCUCUGCUCAAAAGCCCCUGCCAUCCCAGUACCCUGGAAAUGACCCAGGACCAUGGCUACACCAGAUACGUACACUGCAGUACUGUGCCCGGCUCUGAGGACCACCCCUAGGAUGGACCAUACCAGCUGGAAUAUCUUCAGAAGGAAACCAGGAUCCAGAAGUGUUUUAGGGAAACAAGUAUGCUAAGCUCAGAGACAAAAGCUUAAGCAUCAUCAUUACCUGGCAUGGAGAAUGGAGGGAGCAGCCAAUUUAUUUGCUCGUUCACUGCUUUGAAGCUUUGUCCUUAAUUCAUUCAUCUCAGCAUCUUUAAAUUGGAGUUCGGACUGCAAUGAUUGGAGCUGGAAGGCAAAAGCAACAUACUCAUGGAGUUUUUGACAUCCCAUCUAAUCUGGGGACCUUAUGAACAUCUGUAAAAAAACAGUUCCCAUAUACUUUUCUGGACCCAACACUUUCCCACUUUUGCCAGUCAAUGCUGAAAAGAAUCACUCUUGAAAGCAAAUUAGAGAAAGAUCUAGUAAGCAGUAUAGGUAUUUUCCAACCUAAGAACGUGAUUCAAACUCAUAAAUGAUCCUUAUGAAAUGACAAACAGAUCCUGCCUCCCCCUACUCCCCACCCCUCAAUUUUAAGAGUAUCAUCUAAAGGCUGAAAAGGUGCUGUGGGAACCUCACUGGUCAGAACUUGGUGAUCUGUUAUUUGACAAUAUUUACUGAGCACCUAUACCUAUACCUACUGAGCACCGGGCACAGUCUAGUCUCUAAAGGUACAGUGGUGAGCAAAAGGGAUACAGUCCUUACACUCAUGGAGCUUAGAGGACAUUCAAAAAUAAUUAAAUAAAUGUAAAAUUACAACUGUGAUAAGAGCUACACAAGAGAACAAGUAUAGGAAAGCCAAGUAUAUGGAUCCAACUGGAAUGACUGGAAGGCUUCCCAAGGAAGUGAUGACUGAGGCACCAUGCUGGCAAUACUGGAGAAUGACUGGACUCCCAGAUGAAUGUGUGGGAUUUAAGAUGCCUGUGAGAUAUCCAAGUACAGAUGCAAGAUGCCCUCAAAACGUUUCUCCUUCUGUGAGCCCCACAAGACUUCACUCACUCCCCAGCUAGAAAGUAAGCUCCCGAAGAAAGGAGUUUUUGUCUUUUGUUCAUUGCUAAGUGUGCUGCAGUUCCUAAGGUUUUGGACACCUAGUACAAUUUACUGGUUGUAUAACGGAAUAAACCUCUUUCAUCUCUUGCCUCA